CACAGCUGUGCGUGGGCCACAUGCCAGUAAAAUACAUCCUGGACACUCAUAGAUUUCUUCCAGCCGUUACCUGCAGAGCGGCUCAGAGCUAAAGUAACUUCUUCCAGUCCAAAGACAACCGGAUAUGGGAGAGCAUGAUGAAAAAUUGCAGAGAGGAAAGUGUGCACAUGAAUCAAACGCACUUUUGGGUCAGUGUUGCUGAUGGCUGACCAGCAGUCAUGGCCAUGAGCUUGCUGUGCAGUCCCAUUCCCAUUUGUUUUGAAGCAUCCUCAUCUUCUGGAAACCGCUUUCAAGUUUAGUGGCAUAAAAGUCGCUUGGCAGUUUUUGCUCAAAAUGGUCGUCAGGGCUGUAGCUGUCACCAGUAGAAAUGUCUUCUACUGCUUUGGGACUGCUGUGAACCAUUCCUCUGAUCAUGAGCUUGACAGAUCCACCGGCUGUUGCUCAAUGACCCCAUCACCAUAGUUGGCAGACAUUGAUUUGACACAUCGGGCCGGGCAGCUCCUUUGGAGGCCUGGUAAUGUCAGUCCCUGACAAGGCGCUACGUUCGUGCAGAGAUGAUGGCAAAGCAGAGCCGCAUCUUGAGUAAUGUCACCGAGCAAUGGGACAACAGCUACCGUGUUUUAGAAUAUGUGCAUAUUAUUCAUUUGAAAAAAAAGCACAUUUGCCUUUUUAAAGAGAAAAUAUUGGUGUAUUUAUCUACAAAUCUAAUCUGGUGUAUAGCAUUAGGGACUGUCUGAUAGUUUGGGUUUUUUUUCUCAUUUAGCGUAUUACUUGGUCAAGUAGAUAUUUUACGUUUUCAGCUAUACCUGCAAAUUAUGAAUCAUAUACC